rnacentral:rRNA from 1 species
AUUGAACGCUGGCGGCAGGCCUAACACAUGCAAGUCGAGCGGAGCGGCGGACGGGUGCGUAAUGCCUAGGAAUCUGCCUGUUAGUGGGGGAUACCGUCCGGAAACGGGAGCUAAUACCGCAUACUAUCAGAUUAGCCUAGGUCGGAUUAGCUAGUUGGUGGAGUAAAGGCCUACCAAGGCGACGAUCCGUAACUGGUCUGAGUGGAUGAUCAGUCACACUGGAACUGAGACACGGCCCAGACGCCUACGGGAGGCAGCAGUGGGGAAUAUUGGACAAUGGGCGAAAGCCUGAUCCAGCCAUGCCGCGUGUGUGAAGAAGGUCUUCGGAUUGUAAAGCACUUUAAGUUGGGAGGCGUUACCAACAGAAUAAGCACCGGCUAACUUCGUGCCAGCAGCCGCGGUAAUUC